CAGCCACCGCGGGAAUACGGAGGGGGCUAGCGUUGUUCGGAAUUACUGGGCGUAAAGCGCACGUAGGCGGCUUGGUAAGUUAGAGGUGAAAGCCCGGAGCUCAACUCCGGAAUUGCCUUUAAGACUGCAGAGCUAGCAGGUGAGAGAGGUGAGUGGAAUUCCGAGUGUAGAGGUGAAAUUCGUAGAUAUUCGGAAGAACACCAGUGGCGAAGGCGGCUCACUGGCUCAUACUGGACGCUGAGGUGCGAAAGCGUGGGGAGCAAACAGGAUUAGAUACCCGAGUAGUCCCUGUCUCUUAUAC
rnacentral:rRNA from 1 species